AGCGAACGCUGGCGGCAGGCCUAACACAUGCAAGUCGAACGAACCUUUCGGGGUUAGUGGCGGACGGGUGAGUAACACGUGGGAACGUGCCUUUAGGUUCGGAAUAACUCAGGGAAACUUGUGCUAAUACCGAAUGUGCCCUUCGGGGGAAAGAUUAAUCGCCUUUAGAGCGGCCCGCGUCUGAUUAGCUAGUUGGUUGAGGUAAUGGCUCACCAAUGCGACGAUCAGUAGCUGGUCUGAGAGGAUGAUCAGCCACAUUGGGACUGAGACACGGCCCAAACUCCUACGGGAGGCAGCAGUGGGGAAUCUUGCGCAAUGGGCGAAAGCCUGACGCAGCCAUGCCGCGUGAAUGAUGAAGGUCUUAGGAUUGUAAAAUUCUUUCACCGGGGACGAUAAUGACGGUACCCGGAGAAGAAGCCCCGGCUAACUUCGUG
rnacentral:rRNA from 1 species